GCUGGUUAACCUUUUGAUCCCAAUUAGAACGUUGUGGUUAACUGCAGACACCUCUCAAUUAAAACCGAAUGCAGGGUGGUCGUCGUUCGUAUGUCAACCACGAGGCGGCGGCCAUUUUAAACAGGCGAAAGACCAGCGGUGUUCGGCCCAGAUUCUAUGGAACUGAAAAAGGGGACUUUUUCCGCCGAACACCGCUGAAGCCACCGACCUCCCUUCUCAAUCGACAAAAGUGUACGAACACUGGCCAUUCGGGAGUUUGAAACGCACGAAUGGACUUAACACAGAUAGCCCUCCCAUGGAGUCAAUCGCAUACCGAAAGACUGUAAUAGACUUUGACUCCAUGGAGAUUGAACUAUGUGUAUGGGAUCUGAG